AUGCUUUAACGUCUUUGAUAUUGUUAACUUUGGAAACACCAUAUAGUUAUUUAAGGGACAGAGACUAGCAGUAUUCCCAAGGAGAUGACACUGAGAAAUCUAUCAACAGGGGAGUGAGCACCAGGAUGGAGUGCUGUCUCCUCUCAGCUCUUGUGUGAUAUAAGCAGUGCAUGAAGUCCUUACUACGAUUGACCUCACAAAUACACAGGGAUUUGUUGGAUUAGCCAGCUCACUGACAGCAGUGAUGGCUCUAAGGAAACAGAACGCAGGAGAGGGUCUUCUUCACUAACCUCUUCACUAGCAAGACAGUCAUUUACAAUGAAAAUUGGGUGAAUACUAAUUUGCCUUUGGUGUCCUUGUUGGAGCAUCGGAGGACUGUAUGGGUCAUGACAAGAGAAAGUGAGCUGGAGUCAGAGGGAAGCUGCAGUGACUGAGUGAUCUGGUGAUCUGGCAAGGCGAGGUUUUGGAUGGAUCAUGUGCCAGGCACCUACUAUAUGCACCUCCACGUCCCUGCUCCACCCUUCUCUCUGCUCUGCACCCUGAAGGGUAACCCACAUGCCCCUAUUGAUGCGGCUUUUUACAGAGGCAGCACGAGAAGAGUGAGGUUGGGCUGCUGAUUCCUCUGGCUCCAUCCAGGGACCUUGGUUUGACUGCAUCCCUCUGUCAAGGCCACAAUUUUCUCUAGGUAGCUCUCAUACUGUUGUAACAUAAUGGGAUCCCUCAUUAUCCCUAACAGAUUUCCCCACCCCCUUCCAUGCCAUCUAUCUAUCUGUCUAUCUAUCUAUCUAUCUAUCUAUCUCUGUUAUCUAUCAUCUAUGUAAUUUGUCCACAUAUUAUUUAGUUAUCAUUUAUCUUUCAUUGAUCUGUGCAUAAUCUGUCUAUCAACUAUGUAUCUCCCAUUUUGCUCAGACCCUUUAAAAUAGCUUCUUCCCUAAAUUCUCUCAAUUACUCCAUUUGCGUUUAACAUCUAUAACAUCUGACUGACAGUCAUUGGUACCAGAAAUGGCCCCAGAAUACAAACCCUCUAAAAAGACUUCUGACGUUGGGUUGUUCCUGUAGUGGACAAGUAUACAAAUAACUUUGCAGGGAAUGAAACCCUGGUAAGCUGUUCCACACGGUAGCAUCAGUUUCUCGAAUUGUCCUCAGUGGUGGCAUGAGAGGAAGUGCAGGUGGAGGGACAAGGGAUGGGAUCAAAGGGCAAUAGUCCCUGUUGCUUUGACAGCAACAGUGAGAUAAGCAUUGUGAGGUCAGCUGGCUGUUUCCAGUGACACUAGACAUGGUAUACAGAGAAAAGAAGAAAUUGGAGGUUGUGAGGAUUGUUAUUAUUGAUUAGUUUUAUUUGUGUUUUACUCAGAGCACACUCAGACAGUGAGAAAGCCUGGCAGCUUAGUGGGACCUCCUCACUUCCUACAGUCAUGGGGCAGAUAUGGCUGAGCUCUGCCUGAUGUAUGGGCUGCAGGGCUGCAGUUUUGAUUAAGGCAUGGCUGCAUGGCUCUCACUCUCAGAUUGCUAAUUGAUUCUAAGUUGAGCAAGAAAAUUACUCAGAAGGCAGUAUUUGCAAUAGGGAAAAUGCCAGUCAUCAAAAAAUUCUUCAUGUCAAUGAGUGGACCUGGUCUCAGGAGACACAAAUGGCAUUAAAGAGCGGUCCCUACUCUUAAGGAACUUGUAAAGAAGUGAAGAAUACAUUUAUGUGCAAAUUCUAAAACCAGGUUCUUACUCCAAAUAUUCAAGCCAUGGGGCUCCACGUUCUAGGAUAAGUGAGGUUUGGAAAACGCUGGUUAAGAAAGGUAUUUAACUGGGGAUCUCUUAUCAGGCAAGUAUGCUAACAACCCAAGAAGCUUCUAGGCUUACUUCACAAUGGAACCCUUUUGUUCAGAAUGUAUUUUGAGACGUGUUCCUCCAGAUGCAAUCUGGGACAGGAGCUGAGGAAGAAAAGCACUCCCCAUGGUGCUGGGAGGCCUCAUUUUCAGACCUGUUUAUGACUCCAAGAAGCUCAGUGACACGAGCGAGAGGCUUUGAGUUCUGUGUCCUCAGUUUCUAGGCUCUGCGAAACAGAUAAAGGAGGCUCACCAUGAAGCCGGGGAAGAACGGGAGAAGCUGAGAAGCCGUGGGACUCCUCUAUCCUGCUUCUUUCUAAAUGUUCCCAGCCCCAAGCCAGCGCCACAGCAGACAUCUCCUUCCAGACCCAAGCCAACCGAGCAGAAAUGCCUGACCUCACGCUCUUCUCUCGCAAAUGUCCCACCUCUUCUUCAGAGGAGAAAUAGAAGAAUAAGCAGACUGUGAGAUGCAAACAAAGAACUAAUGUAAACCAAAGCAACGCUGUGAAUAAAAACGCAAACGCAAGAUUCGCUCCAGGAAUUUCAUGACAGACGGGUAGACAUACCACGGGAUGGUCGACGGCUGGAAACAGGGGUUUUAUUUUCUGACCACCACAUCCAGAUUCGAGCAUCCCCGUGGGGCACUUCAGUAAUCCAUACGGGCUUUAACGAGCGCCAACACGUGUAUAAUAAAUGGUAGCUCUUUGACAUUCAAUUUCAACUCAGCUUUUAAAAUGGCAUUAAUGGCAACUGAUGCAAUUUCUUUCUCACCUUAGUUUUUUUGUAUUUCAUUUUUAAGUUUUACCACUGAAAAACGAAGCAUUUGUAGAUCAUAGAAUCUAGGAGUUUACAUGAAAUUUGAAAGCUUUUUAUGGGCAACAUUUACUUAAAUAUUUUGCCCAUUACUCAUAAUCUAUUCUUUGUUCAUAUAAUUAGAUUAUUUAAUAAAAUGAGUUUAUUCAAUGUUUCUCCCCACAGUUUAGAGUAUGUCAGAACCCUUAUAUCUGGUCAUAUGCUGCUUUUUUUUCUUUUAAAAUGGUAUUUAUAAAUUAUUUUGUUACUUUUAACAAAGCUGAAAUGAAUGAAUUGCAUCAGUUUUUGCAUAUAUAUGCAUAUCAAUACAUAUAGUUAGAGGAUUAUUUAUCAUAUGCGUGGAACGCAUUUAGCAUAAGUUUGUGAGGUGCAUUCACGACCUGGAAUGUGUAAACAGAAUGUAAAAAGAUUCUGGGUUUAUAUGCCACAAUAAUUUGACUUUUUCACAAAUUAGUAGCAGAUUUGAUUAGAUGUUAACUAAAUGCAGGCAGUUGACAAAUGGUUUUUGGGAAGGUGACUUUAUUUGUGUUCCCUUAUGAUAACCUUUCCUUUCCUCGGCAAACUGUAGAAUCGGGGGUGGGGGC